rnacentral:lncRNA from 1 species
GGCCUUGCUCUUAUGUCAUUUGACUAAAGGUUUCAUAGACCAAAGAUAAUCAUCCAACUUGUUGGAAUACUGAAACAAUUGCUGCCUGCUGUCCACACACCACAUAAAAUAUGUGGAUUUCGUAAAUUCUGCAAAAAAGGUUUGGAAGCUGAUCAAUCAAUACUGGAACUCCCUCUUCUCCAGAAGAGACAUCCUGGCCUCCAUGCAGAGGAAUGUGUGGAUGGACAUAUAUUUAAGGAAGACACUAAACCAGAAACUACUACAUUACACCCUCUUAGAAGACUUCUAAGAUUGUUGUCAUGCCUACCACAGACAUUCAGAUGAUGUGUAUUGUUGAUUGUGAUUUCAUGUUUGGACCUGAUGAAGGAACCCAGGAGAUGAACAUAUGCCUGAGAAGACGAACUAGUGUGGAACUGUCAGCCAGGUUUUUGAUGAGUGCUCAGACUGAUUCCUGAUCUAGCAACCACAUUUACUAUAGUGGACAGAUGCUGUAGUCUCUGAUGAGGAGUUGCUAGCUGUUAGGAAGAACCUGAAAUGGGCUCCACUGCAUGAGGUUUGAAGUCUCCAGAGCAGCAAAGAGAGUGGGGAGUAGAACUCAUCAUCUUUAGGUCACUCAUCAUCG